rnacentral:lncRNA from 1 species
GAAUCAAGCAUUUCACAAAGGUAUAAGCAUGGCAAGGUCAAAUAAGCAUACAUGUUCAAACAUUCUAGCACAAAAAGUUAUCCAGCCAAGCACAACUUGUAAAAUCAUGAUGAUAAAAAACUAGAGAGAAUGUUCAAACAUUCUAGCACAAAAAGUUAUCCAGCCAAGCACAACUUGUAAAAUCAUGAUGAUAAAAAACUAGAGAGAAUAAGGAUCAUAAUGCAAAAAACCUGGUAAUUUUUGGAUUAAUUUU